AACUGCGAAUGGCUCAUUAAAUCAGUUAUCGUUUACUUGAUAGUACCUGUCCUACUUGGAUAACCGUGGUAAUUCUAGGGCUAAUACAUGCUAAAAAUCCCGACUCCGGAAGGGAUGUAUUUAUUAGACACAGAACCAAUGCCCUCCGGGGCUCUCUGGUGAAUCAUGAUAACUCCGCGGAUCGCACGGCCUUGCGCCGGCGAUGGUUCAUUCAAAUUUCUGCCCUAUCAACUUUCGACGGCUGGGUCUUGGCCAGCCGUGGUGACAACGGGUAACGGAGGGUUAGGGCUCGACCCCGGAGAAGGAGCCUGAGAGACGGCUACUACAUCCAAGGAAGGCAGCAGGCGCGCAAAUUACCCAAUGCUGACGCAGCGAGGUAGUGACAAUACAUACUGAUCCAGGGCUCUUUUGGGUCUUGGAAUUGGAAUGAGUACAAUUUAAAUCCCUUAACGAGGAACAAUUGGAGGGCAAGUCUGGUGCCAGCAGCCGCGGUAAUUCCAGCUCCAAUAGCGUAUAUUAAAGUUGUUGAGGUUAAAAAGCUCGUAGUUGAACCUUGGGCCUGGCUGGCCGGUCCGCCUCACCGCGUGCACUGGUCCGGCCGGGCCUUUCCCUCUGGGGAACCUCAUGCCCUUCGCUGGGUGUGCUGGGGAACCAGGACUUUUACUGUGAACAAAUCAGAUCGCUCAAAGAAGGCACUCGCUCGAAUGCAUUAGCAUGGAAUAAUGGAAUAGGACGUGCGGUUCUAUUUUGUUGGUUUCUAGGACCGCCGUAAUGAUUAAUAGGGACAGUCGGGGGCAUCAGUAUUCAAUUGUCAGAGGUGAAAUUCUUGGAUCAAUUGAAGACUAACUACUGCGAAAGCAUUUGCCAAGGAUGUUUUCAUUAAUCAGGAACGAAAGUUAGGGGAUCGAAGACGAUCAGAUACCGUCGUAGUCUUAACCAUAAACUAUGCCGAUUAGGGAUCGGACGGUGUUAUUUUUUGACCCGUUCGGCACCUUACGAUAAAUCAAAAUG
rnacentral:rRNA from 1 species